AUUGUGGAAUUUUUUUUAUUUUUAUCAUCUUCCGUCUUAAUUUCAAGGAAAUUUAUAAAUCUUAUCUUGUUAUUGUCAUGCGAUUUUAAUUCAAUGGAUUUAUUGCUUGAAUUAGAUCUGCAUUUCUUUUGGACGGACAGAAACUAAGAAAAUAUUGACUUAUUUUUACUUUAUUUAUAGACUUUUCGAAUUUAUAGAUUCCUAAGUGGUUGGUAGAAUGCCAACGAACAAGGAAGCCAUUGAAGAUUGUAUCUCCAAGAACAACUUGCUUCCCCAAAGGAUUAUAUGUUCAUAGGACGCACAUCAACUGUUCGAUGAAAGUUUUAUGAUAGGGCUCAUUUCAAAUAAGCCUAAUCUUUUUGAGUUCCAUGUAUAGAUCUACAAUCUAAGCAUGUAUAAAUCAACCAACCGCUACAACCUAAGGAUUUCAGGGUCAUGGUAUCUGUUGAACACGGUGAACUCAACAAAACCUUAUAUGUAAACAAUAAACCUACACACAUACACAAAUAAGCAAACCUGUAAGAUAAUCCAACACUAUCUGUAGAUGAUUUUGCAGUUUUACAAUUGUACAAUUAACAUUUUGUGGGUUAAUCUAUCCACCACAUAGAAUUUGAUUGUUGUUAUUAAAUCUAUGUAUGUGGGGAAGAUGUACAUGUUGAAAUAAAUUGCAAAAUACUGCACAUAUAGUAUUACUCGGCCACAACUGCAAUUACAGGUAACUUAUAUACACAAUUCAUGUUAUUUAAAGAUAAUUACUUUGUUGUUUCUUGAAUUUAGUUUUUUUUGUCAAAGAAUUGCUUAUAUGGGAUGCGGGAUUGUUUCUCAUAAAAACAUAUUUUUUAUAAUUUGUUAAAAAAAGAAUUUAUUAGCUCUAAGAUGAAACGGGUCAUAUUAGUGGGCUCAAUUCAAAUGAUCAUUUUUUACCAUGGGUUCCGACUAACAUAGCUAAUUCUUCAAAAUUAGCUGACUUAAUAUGAACUUGAUGUAUGGAAAAUCACAAUGAAUAUUUGAAUUCAUUAGUUGUCUCUAAAAUAAUUAGUUCUAUAUGUGUACAGAAGUGAGUUGGUGUUGUUCAAAGCUCAACUGCAACAAAGGUAUAUGAAGUUUAAUACAAGAAAUACCGAUGUAUUUUCAUUAUAUAUUUCCAUUUAUUACACAGUGCACAUCAACGGUUUUGCUGCCAUACUCAAAAAUGGAAAACCUACCUAGAUAGCCAUUGAAACCAAACAUCAACCAUAUGUGACAUACUGAUUUGAUUAAUUUCUUGAUAUUGCUUUAUUUGGAUUAUUGGUGAAAAAAAAACAUAAUUUUUUUUGGGUCUUAUUGUAGUGCAUGUGAUGCAUUGAGGAGCUGUCUUUCGGAUACACUACCUACAUAUGAGUGUUGUUUUAUAUCAAUUUCAAAGUGUUAAAUAUAACAAAUAGGAACGUACUUCCAUUUAAUUGUCAUUUAUAACAUUGUACUUCCAUUUUCCUCUAUU